ensembl:snRNA U6 U6 spliceosomal RNA
GUCCUUGCUUCGGCAGCACAUGUACUAAAAUUGGAAGGUUACAGACAAGAUGAGGAUGGCCCCUGUGCAAGGAUGACCCACAAACUUGUGAAGCAUUUCAUAUUUUU